rnacentral:rRNA from 1 species
UACGGAGGAUCCAAGCGUUAUCCGGAUUUAUUGGGUUUAAAGGGUGCGUAGGUGGCCUAUUAAGUCAGGGGUGAAAGACGGUAGCUUAACUAUCGCAGUGCCUUUGAUACUGAUGGGCUUGAAUACACUUGAGGUAGGCGAAAUGUGACAAGUAGCGGUGAAAUGCAUAGAUAUGUCACAGAACACCAAUUGCGAAGGCAGCUUACUAAAGUGUUAUUGACACUGAGGCGCGAAAGCGUGGGGAUCAAACAGG